UUUUUUCUCUCACUCCCAACGGUUGUGUCGGUGCUCGUGCUCAUCCUCUGCUUCUUCUUACAUCAAUUCGGGGAGCAGAUUCAGUUCCCGAUCCAUUAAGCCGAAUCGUUCCCAGUGACCGCUUCACUGCUCUUCACUUCAAUUUCUCCCUGCCCAGGAUGGCGAAGAAACGCAGAGUUCUGGAGAUUCAGUCGAAACUUUUCAGUGAAAGAGCUCGAACUCCUGCCGACACAAUCAUGUCUGUAGUCUCAAAAUCAAGCGGUGAAGAGGAAGUUUAAGUCCAUCCUUCCAAUUACCGCAAGCUCCUCCAUCAUUGGUUCGUUGUUGCCAACAAGGAAGAACUCCAUUUCUCCAAUUUCUCUCCCAUCGUGCACUGGUCCCAAUACGAGAUUGUUGAAAGGGUUAUGGAGAUGUGUCUGGAAACGUCUAAUGUCAUACAUGGUGGUUUUGACAAGGGAAGUUUCUUUUUUUAGUUACUGUAAAGUUCAUGCUUUUGUUGAUGCUUUAUU